GCUUUGCGGAAUUUCUAAACCAAUUUUCCUUCCAUAGUGAGAACGGGUUCAUCCUCCCGGCGGAGGGGCACAUCAUAAAUAGGUUGGAAAGAACGUCCCAACUGGUUUGAUUCGUUUGAAGAACACACCCACCCUAGUAGAAAGCGCGCCACUCUCCUCUGAGACCACAGGUGGAAUUUUGAACAUUGGCGCAACCUGUUCACCCUUUGCGGGCGUGAGAAAAGCUCUCUGGGUAAACCCUUUUUCAAGAGAUAAAGUUUUGCUUAUACCUGGACUAUAGACGGUCCUAAAGAUAAACCCCGCUAAUUCUUCCAGCAAGCGGGGUUAUACGUAGGGGCCAAGCUUUAUUCGGAUUUCUGGGCUUAAAGCUCGCAGGCGGUUUUCCAAACAGAGGUGAAUCCCUGGACUCAACCUGGGCACUGCUUUGUGACUGCAUGGCUAGAGUACGGUAGAGGGGGAUGGAAUUCCGCGUGUAGCAGUGAAAUGCGUAGAUAUGCGGAGGAACACCGAUGGCGAAGGCAAUUCCCCUGGACCUGUACUGACGCUCAUGCACGAAAGCGUGGGGAGCAAACAAGGAUUAGAUACCCUGGUAGUCCACGCCCUAAACGAUGUCAACUGGUUGUUGGGAGGGUUUCUUCUUCAGUAACGUAGCUGACGCGUGAAGUUGACCGCCUGGGGAGUACGGCCGCAAGGUUGAAACUCAAAGGAAUUGACGGGGACCCGCACAAGCGGUGGAUGAUGUGGUUUAAUUCGAUGCAACGCGAAAAACCUUACCUACCCUUGACAUGUCUGGAAUCCUGAAGAGAUUUGGGAGUGCUCGAAAGAGAGCCAGAACACAGGUGCUGCAUGGCCGUCGUCAGCUCGUGUCGUGAGAUGUUGGGUUAAGUCCCGCAACGAGCGCAACCCUUGUCAUUAGUUGCUACGAAAGGGCACUCUAAUGAGACUGCCGGUGACAAACCGGAGGAAGGUGGGGAUGACGUCAGGUCAUCAUGGCCCUUAUGGGUAGGGCUACACACGUCAUACAAUGGCCGGGACAGAGGGCUGCCAACCCGCGAGGGGGAGCUAAUCCCAGAAACCCGGUCGUAGUCCGGAUCGUAGUCUGCAACUCGACUGCGUGAAGUCGGAAUCGCUAGUAAUCGCGGAUCAGCUGCCGAAGAUUCCC
rnacentral:rRNA from 1 species